rnacentral:rRNA from 1 species
UGCGUAGGCGGGGAGUACAAGUUGAAUGUGAAAUAACAUCGGCUCAACCGGUGUGCUGCGUUCAAAACUAGUAUUUCUUGAGAGAGGUAGAGGUAGGCGGAAUUCCCGGUGUAGCGGUAAAAUGCGUAGAUAUCGGGAGGAACACCAGUGGCGAAGGCGGCCUACUGGGCCUUUUCUGACGCUGAGGCACGAAAGCAUGGGGAGCAAACAGGAUUAGAUACCCUGGUAGUCCAUGCUGUAAACGAUGAAUACUAGGUGUGGGGGGUCGUGACCCCUUCCGUGCCGCAGUUAACACAAUAAGUAUUCCACCUGGGGAGUACGGCCGCAAGGUUGAA